rnacentral:rRNA from 1 species
GAUUAUGGCUCAGGAUAAACGCUGGCGGCGUGCUUAACACAUGCAAGUCGAACGGAGUGAUUCUCCCGAAGAUUGAGGGUGCUUGCACCUGAUUGAUUCAUUGAAUCACUUAGUGGCGGACGGGUGAGUAACGCGUGGGUAACCUGCCCUAUACUGGGGGAUAGCAGUUGGAAACGACUGAUAAUACCGCAUAAGCGCACGGUAUCGCAUGAUACAGUGUGAAAAACUCCGGUGGUAUAGGAUGGACCCGCGUCUGAUUAGCUAGUUGGUGAGGUAACGGCCCACCAAGGCGACGAUCAGUAGCCGGCCUGAGAGGGUGUACGGCCACAUUGGGACUGAGACACGGCCCAAACUCCUACGGGAGGCAGCAGUGGGGAAUAUUGGACAAUGGGGGAAACCCUGAUCCCAGCGACGCCGCGUGAACGAAGAAGUAUUUCGGUAUGUAAAGUUCUAUCAGCAGGGAAGAUAAUGACGGUACCUGACUAAGAAGCACCGGCUAAAUACGUGCCAGCAGCGGC